UACGUAGGGUGCAAGCGUUGUCCGGAAUUACUGGGCGUAAAGAGCUCGUAGGUGGUUUGUCGCGUUGUCCGUGAAAACUCACAGCUUAACUGUGGGCGUGCGGGCGAUACGGGCAGACUGGAGUACUGCAGGGGAGACUGGAAUUCCUGGUGUAGCGGUGGAAUGCGCAGAUAUCAGGAGGAACACCGGUGGCGAAGGCGGGUCUCUGGGCAGUAACUGACGCUGAGGAGCGAAAGCGUGGGGAGCAAACAGG
rnacentral:rRNA from 1 species